UCCAAAGGUUGGAGCCCCACCUCCAUCAGCAAGAGGCUUUUGCUGACACCGCGGAAAGAAACCGGCAGAAGCUGGAGCUGAAGCGGCAGCUCCCCUGUGCUCGGUGCUCGUACCGCUCCAGAGGGGAAGGUGCUGGCAACAGUGCUGGAGCUGUCGGCAAGGGGGCUGGGAAGCUGUCCGGAUUUCCACCUGUGAAUGGCAAAUCGUAGAAUCAAAGACUUGUAGAAUGGCCUGGGUUGAAAAGGACCUUGAAGAUCAUCUAGUUUCCACCCCCCUGCAAUGUGCAGGGUUACCAGCCACCAGUCCGGGCUGCCCAGAGCCACAUCCAGCCUGGCCUUGAAUGCCUCCGGGGAUGGGGCAUCCACCACCUCUCGGCAGGCUGUUCCGGAGAGGUGCUCCAGCCCUCUGAUCAUCUUUGUGGC
ensembl:lncRNA